GCUUGGCGAGGGCCGAGAUUUUCAUCAGGCAGAGGAGUGUCCUCACCCGAUCCCAUCACGGAAUGGGGAGCCGAGAGCAGAGCAAGAGGGGGACAUAAGCAUGCCCCUCUGCAGUGCGGCUGUGUUAUCUGACCCGUCACGCUGCACAUUCUUGGAGCAUUAGAGAGCUUCUAAUUGCCAGGUUAAGCACCCAGGCCUGGCCUAUGCGUAGCCCGUCCUCUGGGAUGGAGACCACUUUCGACAGGAUGCAAGGAGCAUCCUCCCUGGGCACCGCCCUUGCCAGCGAUCUCAAGCCCCUGCGCCCAGGUUUCCGACUGAGAAAAUGAGGAUAUCAGACUUGGAGGGUCUCCAAGGUUCACUCUGACUGCGGAGCUGAGCGAACAGAGAAAGAGGAACAAGACAGGGAUGGGCGCCCAGUUAGGAGGCGGCUGUGAUCAUACGGGUGAGACGUGCUAUGACUUGGCCAAGACUGGCAAUGGUGGAGAAGCUUCUGGACUGGAAUGAAACAUCUUAAAAUCUUGGUCUACAACAACCUCUCAAAAAAUGAAAAAAAGAAAAAAAGAGUCUAUAGCAAAAGAAGUCGACUUGAUCUUGUUCUCUUGUAAAUCAUUUGAAAAUGAGAGGCUCCACACCAAAAUAUCCUGGUGGCCUGAGACAGAAUCAAGAUCUCUCCCUCCCUGUCUUUCUAGAAGACCUGGAUAGCAUUCAUCCCUGGGUGAAUGUCCCCAAGGACACUGGACCUUGCUCAGUAGGUUUAGGUCCCCUACCACGGAUGAGUCAGCUCCCACACCCGGACAGUUGUGCAAACAGCGCUCCAGCCCACCACAGAGUAGCUGUGAAGUUAUUGCAACUUGUUUAACCUUUUAAGGCUUAAUAUUCUGUAAAUUAUUCUCUGUGGCCCCUUAUUCUAUGGAAACGGGGUGGAGGAGUCCCAUCUCCUGGGGGCAUCGUAAGAGUUAAGUUAGAUAUUGAAGGAGAAAUCACCCAGCACAGGGCCUGACAUCAGCGAGACAUCAGUCACUCCCAGUUUCCUUCCUGCCUUUUUCCACACAGGGAAAGGUACGACACCCAGGCCUUUGUCAGAGUGGCAGUGCCUCUGUAAGUAAGGCUCCCUCUCCCCGACCCCACUGACUUUACCAGGCUCCAACCGCAGCAGUAGUUCUCUCCAGUCAGGCAGAAGUCAGAGGUGCUGAGCGUGAGGAGGGAGUGGGAGCCAGACAAAGGAGCAAUUACCCCCACAUGACUGCCUACUAAGAAUUCUGGCUGGAGAAAAGGCUUCGCUGCAGUCUGUUUUUGCAAAUUCUGCUUGGGGAACCCAAGAGGUAAGGCUUUCGGGCAACAGGAUAGCCCGGAUCUCAUUGUCCCAGAAUUCAACUUAGCUAACCUCUGGCAUUUUCUGUGCUCUGUCUCCUCUCUCACAUAUUCCCUUGAUUCAUCAGUGUCUCUCUAUUCCAGUUAGCACAGUUCCCAUGGAUCAAGCUCAGCUAACCCGAGCAUACUUGACACAGAUACACAGUCAGACACAGACACGGACACACACACACACACUCUCUCUCUCUCUCUCUCCCUCCCUCCUUCCAAGAGAAGUCUUGCCUCUAAAUGGAGGAUGUUUGUAUACUGUGGGCUCGGCUAUGCCUGAGGACAUGUUGGAAGAUGAGAGUCACUUCCCCCAGCUCUCCUGAACUGAGUCUAUGAGAACCAAUUAUAAUCCUUACAUCUUCUCAUUCUUAUCAGGCUUAUUUCUAACUUAGUUCUGGUAUCCCACUUUGAGCCAGUCAGAGGAAAAAAAAACAACAACAACAACCCUUUGCAUUGGCAAGACUACUGCACGACUGCACGACUGACAAGGAAGAUAUUCUGGGAUAAAUCAGGGAAAGCCUUGGCUGUUUCGAUAGUAAUCCUAAAGAUCAACAGAAGAAAUUUCUUGAAGUGGAUGGAUAAAAUUCUUAGAAUAAUCCUGCCCAAGCCCUCUAGAAUUCCUUUAUGAUGCCUUUAUAUAUUUCAGCCUUUCACAUAAGAAGAUUUCAGACUGUCGCCCAAAUGAAUGUGCAGUGCUGUUGGCUAGGAGCAUGCCACUGCCAAAGGGAUUAGACUGGAACGUGUCUUUGGAAAGGGUGUUUUGAGAGAAAGUCCCAUUGAUGCUACCUAAAUUUCUGGGGAAAUGUCUUCAGCAAGUUUUCAGUGUGGUGCACAUACGAGAGCUUCUCUCACUCUGUUGGGAACGUCUGGGAAAGUGAAAUGACCCAGUGGGCCAGGUCAGCAUUGACCUAGCUAGGAACUUGGCCAGUGGACUGAACUGAAGAGCUGGCAGGGCUUAAGGGCAAGGUGUGGUCUGGAAGGCAGGGCUGAGACUGGGGUGCAAAGUCCCAGGUGCUGUGGAUUGAUAGUGGGUGGGGAUUUUACUGGGAUUGGUGCAGAUGGGGUAUAUUCACUGUGUGGAAUCGGGACCAGAGAUGGAAACUUGGCUGGUGCUUGAGAAGCACAGGAGCCAGAAGCUGGGGCUAGAACUGUAGCUCAUUCUCUGAAGUUUUAUUUCUCAUCGGGAAACUUCCUUUCAUAGUCUCCCUUCCUCUGGUCCAGCAUCUCCCAGAAUUUGAUGUCAACGUAACACAAAGAAACUGUAUGUGGAGGUUACUUACGAUUGACCACUAAAUUCUGUUUGUCUAAUUAUCCUUAAAAAUAAAGGGCAUGCACUUUUUUAAAAAAAAAUAUUUCUUUAUUUGAGGAAGAGUGGUAGAGAGUAGGGGAAAAGGGCAGAGAUAGAGGGAGAGAGAAUCCCAAGCAG